AUGAACGCUAGCUACAGGCUUAACACAUGCAAGUCGAGGGGCAGCAUCAUCAAAGCUUGCUUUGAUGGAUGGCGACCGGCGCACGGGUGAGUAACACGUAUCCAACCUGCCGACAACACUGGGAUAGCCUUUCGAAAGAAAGAUUAAUACCGGAUGGCAUAAUUAUUCCGCAUGGGAUAAUUAUUAAAGAAUUUCGGUUGUCGAUGGGGAUGCGUUCCAUUAGGCAGUUGGCGGGGUAACGGCCCACCAAACCUACGAUGGAUAGGGGUUCUGAGAGGAAGGUCCCCCACAUUGGAACUGAGACACGGUCCAAACUCCUACGGGAGGCAGCAGUGAGGAAUAUUGGUCAAUGGACGAGAGUCUGAACCAGCCAAGUAGCGUGAAGGAUGACUGCCCUAUGGGUUGUAAACUUCUUUUAUACGGGAAUAAAGUGAGCCACGUGUGGCUUUUUGUAUGUACCGUAUGAAUAAGGAUCGGCUAACUCCGUGCCAGCAGCCGCGGUAAUACGGAGGAUUCGAGCGUUAUCCGGAUUUAUUGGGUUUAAAGGGAGCGUAGGCGGGUUGUUAAGUCAGUUGUGAAAGUUUGCGGCUCAACCGUAAAAUUGCAGUUGAUACUGGCGACCUUGAGUGCAACAGAGGUAGGCGGAAUUCGUGGUGUAGCGGUGAAAUGCUUAGAUAUCACGAAGAACUCCGAUUGCGAAGGCAGCUUACUGGAUUGUAACUGACGCUGAUGCUCGAAAGUGUGGGUAUCAAACAGGAUUAGAUACCCUGGUAGUCCACGCCGUAAACGAUGUCGACUUGGAGGUUGUGCCCUUGAGGCGUGGCUUCCGGAGCUAACGCGUUAAGUCGACCGCCUGGGGAGUACGGCCGCAAGGUUAAAACUCAAAUGAAUUGACGGGGGCCCGCACAAGCGGAGGAACAUGUGGUUUAAUUCGAUGAUACGCGAGGAACCUUACCCGGGCUUAAAUUGCAACUGACGGAACCGGAAACGGUUCUUUCUUCGGACAGUUGUGAAGGUGCUGCAUGGUUGUCGUCAGCUCGUGCCGUGAGGUGUCGGCUUAAGUGCCAUAACGAGCGCAACCCUUACGGGUAGUUACCAUCAGGUUAUGCUGGGGACUCUACCCGGACUGCCGUCGUAAGAUGUGAGGAAGGUGGGGAUGACGUCAAAUCAGCACGGCCCUUACGUCCGGGGCUACACACGUGUUACAAUGGGGGGUACAGAAGGCAGCUACACGGCGACGUGGUGCUAAUCCCAAAAGCCUCUCUCAGUUCGGAUUGGAGUCUGCAACCCGACUCCAUGAAGCUGGAUUCGCUAGUAAUCGCGCAUCAGCCACGGCGCGGUGAAUACGUUCCCGGGCCUUGUACACACCGCCCGUCAAGCCAUGAAAGCCGGGGGUACCUGAAGUACGUAACCGCGAGGAGCGUCCUAGGGUAAAACUGGUGAUUGGGGCU
rnacentral:rRNA from 1 species